AAAUAAGAAUCAAUAUUUUGAACCUAGUUUCGACCUAGACCUAAGAUGAUAAACCAUCCUUAUUUA
rnacentral:tRNA from 2 species